rnacentral:rRNA from 1 species
UACAGAGGUCCCGAGCGUUGUUCGGAUUCAUUGGGCGUAAAGGGCGCGUAGGCGGCGGGGUCAGUCGGGUGUGAAAUCUUGGGGCUUAACCCCGAAACGGCACUCGAAACUGCCCGGCUGGAGGGCCGGAGAGGAGAUCGGAAUUCACGGUGUAGCAGUGAAAUGCGUAGAGAUCGUGAGGAAGACCCGUGGCGAAGGCGGAUCUCUGGACGGCUAACUGACGCUGAGGCGCGAAGGCCAGGGGAGCAAACGGG